GAUGAACGCUGGCGGCGUGCCUAAUACAUGCCAGUCGAGCGAACAGAUGAGGAGCUUGCUCCUCUGACGUUAGCGGCGGACGGGUGAGUAACACGUGGAUAACCUACCUAUAAGACUGGGAUAACUUCGGGAAACCGGAGCUAAUACCGGAUAAUAUAUUGAACCGCAUGGUUCAAUAGUGAAAGACGGUUUUGCUGUCACUUAUAGAUGGAUCCGCGCCGCAUUAGCUAGUUGGUAAGGUAACGGCUUACCAAGGCAACGAUGCGUAGCCGACCUGAGAGGGUGGUCGGCCACACUGGAACUGAGACACGGUCCAGACUCCUAAGGGAGGCAGCAGUAGGGAAUCUUCCGCAAUGGGCGAAAGCCUGACGGAGCAACGCCGCGUGAGUGAUGAAGGUCUUCGGAUCGUAAAACUCUGUUAUUAGGGAAGAACAAAUGUGUAAGUAACUAUGCACGUCUUGACGGUACCUAAUCAGAAAGCAACGGCUAACUACGUG
rnacentral:rRNA from 1 species